GCUGCGUGGGCGGGGAAGAGCGGCUGUAGGUGUAACCAGCGGCUCCCGUUACGUGAAGUAGUGAAGUGUCGGCACUCUUCCCACCCCAGCUUUCGGUGCCCCCUCGGUUUGCAGUCGGGCUCUCAGGCCCAGAAAGGGAAAGACAUGCCCAGGCCUCUCACUGAUGUGGCCUCUCCCGUUGCGGAGCACAGGCUCCGGACGCGCAGGCUCAGCGGCCAUGGCUCACGGGCCCAGCCGCUCCGCAGCAUGCGGGAUCCUCCGGACCGGGGCAUGAACCCGUGCCCCCCACAUCAGCAGGCGGACUCUCAACCACUGCGCCACCAGGGAAGCCCUCUAAUGAUCUUUGAAUUCUGUUGUUUCAUUGUAUAAUUCUGUGUUUGCAAGAAGGGAUUUCCUGACGUAGCACUGAUUCUUUCUUCAGGACUCACAUAUACUGUAGGCCUCUUGAGAAGAAAUGAAGCCAGAAUCCACAGAUGUCAUGAUCCAUCUGCACGCUUUUGUUUACUACCCAGAAGGCAAGACUAUUGCAUUUUAAAAGUGUCCAGACUUUUGUUCUUUCUUAUCACAAAUGACUUGAGAAGAUCUGACCAUUCACAGUUACCCUGAGUGGAAGUGCCAAAGACUUGCUUCCUGGAGUGCUUUGAGAUUCAGGUACAAAAGGCAUUUUAUAAGCACAGAGUGAAAAAGCAUCCUUUAUAUUCAUUUGCUGCUGUGGCAUUUCUCUCUGGAAUCUUCCUCGUGUCUGUCAACAUUGUGCAAAAGGACUGGCCUCAUCUACAUUACAAAUCUCUCUCCUUUAAUGGUCUGGAAGUGGGAAAGGGACUGCAUAAGAGUGAGCUCUCAUGUUGGAGGGUCUCCUGCUUGUUUAUCCCUAAAACUGGUUGGACAUGAUCGCUGUGGAUGUCAUGAAUUGUUUUGGAAAGACCCGAGUGUGAACUCAGGACAGUGCUUUGUGCAUCUGGGUUGCAGUGAAUGUGUAUUAUCUGACUUCAGUGACUCAUGGGAGAAUCACAGCCAUGGGGAAGAGCUGCUGAGGGGUCAUUUAGAAAGGAGCCAUUCUGGGCGGACGGUGCUCAGUUCUCUACUAGCUGCCGGAGUGGAGAAACGUCCAUCAUGAUGGCUCCUUUGACCCGUGGCAGAUCCUUUCUUGCAGGGGCCCUGCUUGGUAUGAUUUAAGAAGCAUCAAGGACUUUCUGCCCCAGAAGUUCUCAGUGUGUGACGUCACACACAUGGAUGAGGGUUUGCCAACUGUAUUAGUCAAAGUAGGGCCUGGCUUGGAGGGGCUCCCAUGCCCCUCUGGGAAUGUUCUAGAACAUGGGGCAUUACCCAAGAGACAGAGCCUGGGAUGGUGUUACUCAGGUCAAAGGUCUGAGCGUGGGGGGCCAUAUAAAUGAGUGGUGGGGCGGUGUGUAUAGAUGCAGGAGGAGAGGUGCUUGGAGAGCAGGAGUGCUGCUACCAGGAGAGAUGGUUCCCAAAGGGAGAGACCCAGAUGCCAAGCCCUUCUCUUUUUCCUCUGCCCAGGGUCCCUUCUGAAUCUGCAAAUCAGCUGCUGCUUCUCCUCCUCCUUUGCCUCCUUCUUCAAAUCUUUUCAUCACAAAAAUCUCAAAUAUAUACCUAAGUAGAGAGAACAGUAAAAUGAACCCCCAUGUACCCAUCACCAUUAUCCACCUUGAAAAAUGACCAACACCAUCCAAUCUCCUUCCACACACCCUCCCCUUCCUCAGAUGAUUAUUGAAAUUACCUCAUACUUUUUAAAAAAUAAAUUUACUUGUUUAUU